UGUAGGGCUUGGGCAUGUGGGAUGGUCCCCUCUGUAGGGCUUGGGGAUGUGGGAUGGUCCCUUCUGUAGGGCUUGGGGAUGUGGGAUGGCCCCCUCUGUAGGGCUUGGGGAUGCAGAAUGGCCCCUUCUGUAAGGCUGUAGGGCUGUAGGGCCUGGAGUUGUGGGAUGGCCUCUUCUGUAGAGCUGUAGGGGACUGCUCAGGGCUGUGUGUUGGAGGCAGCACAUGGCAUUGCCCGUCCAUGGGGCCGUGGCCGUGGAACAGCUCAGCAGGCUGAAAGGUCUCCGUGUGAGCCCCGGCUGCAGGCAUCUCUGUGAGCCCCAUCAGCCCCAUGGCAGCCCCGGGGACGUCUCCCCAUGCAGAUGCAUUCCCUCAGCCCCUCUGAGAGAGGAAUCUCCAGAUGCUCCCCAGCUCCCACCUCUGUCUUAGGGACAGCAUCACUUCUGCUGUCACUUCGAAU
ensembl:lncRNA